UCGGCGUGCUUAACACAUGCAAGUCGAACGGAAAGGCCCUGCUUUUGUGGGGUGCUCGAGUGGCGAACGGGUGAGUAACACGUGAGUAACCUGCCCUUGACUUUGGGAUAACUUCAGGAAACUGGGGCUAAUACCGGAUAGGAGCUCCUGCUGCAUGGUGGGGGUUGGAAAGUUUCGGCGGUUGGGGAUGGACUCGCGGCUUAUCAGCUUGUUGGUGGGGUAGUGGCUUACCAAGGCUUUGACGGGUAGCCGGCCUGAGAGGGUGACCGGCCACAUUGGGACUGAGAUACGGCCCAGACUCCUACGGGAGGCAGCAGUGGGGAAUAUUGCACAAUGGGCGGAAGCCUGAUGCAGCAACGCCGCGUGCGGGAUGACGGCCUUCGGGUUGUAAACCGCUUUCGCCUGUGACGAAGCGUGAGUGACGGUAAUGGGUAAAGAAGCACCGGCUAACUACGUGCCAGCAGCCGCGGUGAUACGUAGGGUGCGAGCGUUGUCCGGAUUUAUUGGGCGUAAAGGGCUCGUAGGUGGUUGAUCGCGUCGGAAGUGUAAUCUUGGGGCUUAACCCUGAGCGUGCUUUCGAUACGGGUUGACUUGAGGAAGGUAGGGGAGAAUGGAAUUCCUGGUGGAGCGGUGGAAUGCGCAGAUAUCAGGAGGAACACCAGUGGCGAAGGCGGUUCUCUGGGCCUUUCCUGACGCUGAGGAGCGAAAGCGUGGGGAGCGAACAGGCUUAGAUACCCUGGUAGUCCACGCUGUAAACGGUGGGUACUAGGUGUGGGGUCCAUUCCACGGGUUCCGUGCCGUAGCUAACGCUUUAAGUACCCCGCCUGGGGAGUACGGCCGCAAGGCUAAAACUCAAAGGAAUUGACGGGGCCCCGCACAAGCGGCGGAGCAUGCGGAUUAAUUCGAUGCAACGCGUAGAACCUUACCUGGGUUUGACAUGGAUCGGGAGUGCUCAGAGAUGGGUGUGCCUCUUUUGGGGUCGGUUCACAGGUGGUGCAUGGCUGUCGUCAGCUCGUGUCGUGAGAUGUUGGGUUAAGUCCCGCAACGAGCGCAACCCUUGUUCACUGUUGCCAGCACGUUAUGGUGGGGACUCAGUGGAGACCGCCGGGGUCAACUCGGAGGAAGGUGGGGAUGACGUCAAGUCAUCAUGCCCCUUAUGUCCAGGGCUUCACGCAUGCUACAAUGGCUGGUACAGAGAGUGGCGAGCCUGUGAGGGUGAGCGAAUCUCGGAAAGUCGGUCUCAGUUCGGAUUGGGGUCUGCAACUCGACCUCAUGAAGUCGGAGUCGCUAGUAAUCGCAGAUCAGCAACGCUGCGGUGAAUACGUUCCCGGGGCUUGUACACACCGCCCGUCAAGUCAUGAAAGUUGGUAACACCCGAAGCCGGUGGCCUAACCGUUGUGGGGGAGCCGUCGAAGGUGGGACUGGUGAUUAGGACUAA
rnacentral:rRNA from 1 species